rnacentral:rRNA from 1 species
GACGAACGCUGGCGGCGUGCUUAACACAUGCAAGUCGAACGGUAAGGCCCUUCGGGGUAUACGAGUGGCGAACGGGUGAGUAACACGUGGGUGAUCUGCCCUGCACUUCGGGAUAAGCCUGGGAAACUGGGUCUAAUACCGGAUAGGACUCCUGCCUGCAUGGGUGGGGGUGGAAAGCUUUUGCGGUGUGGGAUGGGCCCGCGGCCUAUCAGCUUGUUGGUGGGGUGAUGGGCUACCAAGGCGACGACGGGUAGCCGGCCUGAGAGGGUGACCGGCCACACUGGGACGUAGAGACGGCCCAGACUGCUACGGGGGGCAGCAGUGGGGAAUAUUGCACAAUGGGCGCAAGCCUGAUGCGGCGGCGCCGCGUGAGGGAUGACGGCCUUCGGGUUGUAAACCUCUUUCAGCACAGACGAAGCGCAAGUGACGGUAUGUGCAGAAGAAGGACCGGCCAACUACGUGCCAGCCGCCGCCGUAA